rnacentral:tRNA from 7 species
GGAGGGGUCGCAUAGUGGACUAGUGCGUUAGUCUUGAAAACUAAUGUGGGCGCAAGCCUACCGCGAGUUCGAAUCUCGCCCCCUCCGCCA